AGGGUCAGUAAGACCCAGUUCUUCUCCUGUGCAGAGGGAACUUUUACUUAGCUGGAAUUGAACCUCGUGGUCCGAGUAUGUGAAGGGAUUCAGGGUCCAGAGUGCACCCCAGAACAUAGGAGAUAGCUCUAUGUCCCCGUUUCCCUCAGGAGCCUUCUCCUCACUCCUGCUGCCUAGAACAAGGGGAGGAGAAUCUCCACUGCCUGACCUGCUGCUUCAUGCCCCUCCCUAUCUCUACUCUCCAUUCCCUCUGAGCCCUCCAGACCCUAGGAGGAGUAAGAGGGAGGUCCUUCGAGGCUUAUCUCGAUUUCCAUCCUCUCAUUCCGGUGCUGGUCAUAUUCUGGGUCAGCAACCACAGAACAUCCCAAGGCUGGGUGCUCAGGAAUCAGAGAGGAUGCCUGGACCAGAAGCCAGCACCACCCUCAGGGCUUCACUGGAGGAGCUGUCACUGGGGCCAGUGCGGUUUCCCCUACUGCUGCAGGACCAGGAGAGGAUUCGUCCAACAGUGAAUCAGAGCAGGAGGGGCCCCAGAAGCUGGUCCAUAAAGUGUCCACCUCUGGACAGAUGGGGACCAAGUAGCAUUGAUCUUCCCAGACUGAUAACUGCUGAAAUCCAGGUCACGGCUCACCUCACCAAACUCAAAGCAAGGAGUGAGGAGAGGGAGACUCUAGACAGCCACCGGACUACAACCAUCGGCUCUGAAAUAAUGAGAAACUAUUGUAAGCAGACAGAUGCCUUGAUGUCUCUGAGAAGUUGCAAAAGAGACAGCUGUCUAUGAAGAUAGAAGCUAGACCGCCUGUCAAGCUGACAUGGAAUGAAGAGCUACAGUUCCAUCUUCAUUACAUCCUGAAAUUGAGCUCCAUCUUCAAAUUGAUGCCUCAGAAUCCAUAGGAGCCAUCAAGCAAAGAAAUACACCCUGACAGGCAAAAAAGGGAUGUGGAAUGGAGUGGGAUGUUCCCAGUGAGGAGCCCAGAAUGACCAGGUAAGUAGGAAUUUCCACAACACAUUACUAGAGCAAGAAGGGGAAUCCAUUGAAAAGGUAUACUAGAAAUAUUUGAGAGAAAUAAGCAAACUUGAAAUUGUUAUGUGGGGUCAAUUUAUGAGUCUAACCAGUUAAGUACCAAUCAGUUUCUUCAUGUUCCUGGCCUUGGAUUUUUCCCCCUCUUACCUCUAGAUUCCGGAUUGUAACAUUAAGAGUGGCCACUUUCAACGAUCACCCUAGCUUACAACAGUUCCUGGCUACUUUUUUAUUCUUAAUUCCUAGAAAUCAGGAUUUUAUGCUGAAGCUUGAUUUUGAUCACAGGUGAUUAAAGUUAGAGAUGUCUUAUUCUUCCUAACCAGAGAUGUCAGACUAAGGCGGUGAAACUGGAAAAAACAUGGCCAAGUCUUUCUGUUACCUUGGGAGCUGAGGGUGGCCAUCUGGUAUCUGUCAUAUGCACCAAUCAGCUGAGAAAUUCACUCUUCCCAGGAAAUACAAAUGGCAGGAGAAGCAAUGGCUCAUCAUGGAAGCCUCCCAGUUCCCAGUGGCUCCAGUCAUCCCUUUAAUUGCUGACCCUUCAACUGCAUUUCUGCCCCUGUAUUCUAUGAUACCUUGUGUCUUGUAUAAAUAAUCCCCUCUUUCUGCUUAAGUUAGUUUGCUUUGGGUUUCUGUUUGAUACCCAAAGAGUCCUAAUAUGGUAAUAACAAGAUACUUCCUGAAACCCUGCUGUCCUCUACUUCUGUAUGUGUCCCCCACCUGCAUUCUAAGGAUAGAUAAGCUUUCCCUUAUUUCUCUUUUAGGCUUUGUAUAUUCCCUGCUUUAGAAAUCUGAGCAUCACAAUUCACAAUCCCUCUCUAUGCCUUUGCUUUGACUCCCUGGCUUUUACUCCCUAUCCUUGAAGGAAAUGCUAACAAGGAAACGGAGAACACCUGGGAAGGUCAUUUAUAUAUGCCUGGGCUUAUGAACAGAUAUGGGCUCCAUUAGUCUGAAUCUCCCAGGACAUAUGAUAAAAAGGUUAAAAAACAAGAAAGAGCCAGGCAUAUAAACAUAGCAGACAAUAUUGAAAGUCAAAAAAAAAAAAAAAAAAAAAAGAAGGAUGAACAUAAUAGUCACAGGAGGAAAUGUGGAGACAAGGUGUAGAGCAGAGAAUGAAGCAAAAGCCAUCCUGAGCCUUCCCCACCUGGAGAUCCAUCCCACAUAUAGACACCAAACCCAGACAAUAUGGAAGAUGACAAUAAGUGCUUUCUGACAGGAUCCUGCUAUAGGUGUCUCCUCAGAGGCUCCACAUGAGAGUGACAAAUAAUAAGGCACAUUUUUGCAGCCACUCUUUGGAUUGAAUAUAGAGUCCCCAGUGGAAGAGUUGGAGAAAGGACUGAAUGAGCUAUAGGGGGUUGCAACCAUAGGAAGAACAACAAUAUCAACCAACCAUAUCCCCUAGAACUCCCAGGGACUAAACCACCAAUCACACAUGGAGUGACCCAUGGCUCUAGGCACAUUGUGCCAGAUGACGUCCUUGUUGGACAUCAAUGAGAGGAAAGGCCCUUGGUCCUUUAAAGGCUCGAUGCCCCAGUGUAGGGGAAUGUCAGGGUAGUAAGAGAACACUGUGUUCUAAAUAACUUUAAAAGUCCCACAGUCUUUACAUAUUCUUAAAAUUUCAAUCUCUUUAAAAUAUCCAUCUCUUUUAAAAUUCAAAGUCUUUUUACAAUUAAAAGUCUCAACUGUGGGCUCCACUAAAACAGUUUCUUCCUUCAAGAGGAAAAUAUCAGGGCAUAGUCACAAUCAAAAGCAAAAGUCAAUCUCCAACCGUCCAAUGUCUGGGAUCCAACUCACGAUCUUCUGGGCUCUUCCAAGGGCUUGGGUCACUUCUCCAGCCAGGCCCUUUGUAGCACACGAGUCAUCCUCUAGGAGCACCCUCAUAGAAGCAGGUGGAAGGGGCAUGAGAUAAGUGGUUCUAGGCAGGUAACCAGAAAAAAGGGCUAACAUUUGAAAUGUAAGAUUAAAGUGUUUUAAAAUAGAAAAAAAAUGAAGACCCAGAAAUUAAACUGUACUUAUGGACACUUGAUCUUCGCCAAAUUAAAAAAUAUACAAUAGAAAAAAGAAACACCUAAAAUAAAUGUCGCUGGUCUAACUGGGAGUAAGUAUGUAGAAAAAAGAAAGUAGAUGCAUAUUUGUCACCUGGCACAAUACUCAAGUCCAGGUUGAUUAAAGAUCUCAACAUAAAACCAGAUUCACUGAAUCUAACUGAAGAGAAAGCAGGAAAGAGCCUCAAACUUAUGGGAAUGGGGAUAAAUGUUAUAAACGGGAACUCCAAUAGCUCAGACUCUAACAUCAAAGUUUAUAAAUGGGCCACAAGAAACUGAAAAGCUUCUAUAAGACAAAGGGCAUAGCCAGUAGGACAGAUUGACAAACUACAUAUUGGGAGAAAAAUGUUCACUAACCCCCCAUCCAGUGGAGCACUAAUAUCCAAAAUAUAUAAAGAACUCAAGUAGAUAACCACCAUAAGAGCUAAGAACACAAUCUAAAAAUGUGGUAGAGAACUAAACACAACAUUCACAACAACUCAUCUUGAAUGGCUGAGAAGCACUGAAGAAGUGUGCAACGUCCUUUGUCUUCAGAGAAAUGAAAACCAAAAUGACCCUGAGGCUGGUUUCCAGCGGUAUACUUUCCAGUGAAGAAUGCUAAGAUCAAAAAAACUCAUGUGAAAGCAUAUGUUGGUGAGAAUUUGAAGAAAGAGGAACAUUCUUCCAUUUCUGGUGGGACUGCAAAGUGCUAUGGCAACUCUGGAAACCAAUAUGGAGUUCCUCAGAAAUUUUCAGAUUGAUCUACCUGAGAGACAAGGACCAACCUUACUGGUGCAUGGCCUGCUACUUUCAGUUUUCACUUGAUGGCUUGUUACUCAGAUUUUCUUAUUGGGCUAUGACUUUGCUCUUGUCUUUCUGAUUCUCAAGCAGUUCUCUGUUCUUACACAUUUUUUGAGAUACCUCUAGCCACUGGGACUUAUUUAUACCUUCAAAUCCCUCUAAAUUGGGGGACUUCUAAUACUUGGAGAAGCUGAGUGACAAAAGCAAAGUAUGUUGAGCCCUUUGGUGUCCAGUGCACACGAAUCUAUGGGAGUCUAGAUAUGCUAAUCCUCUAGAACAUUCUUUAGGAAAGCAGCAGUAUGCUCUCAGGUCCCUGUGUGACCUCACCUUUGUCAGCUUUGUCGGCUUUUCUACUGCUGGUCUGAGAACAAUUGGAAACUCCUGGAAUAGAUGUCUCAUAUCUAAUUUCCUUUGUCAUUGUUAGUAUACUAGUGGGAGUAGGUUUGAUGGAAAUAUACUCUCAAACAUUAAUCAAAACAGUGCUUUUUAUGGACCAUCAGGAUGAAGUACCAAGUUCAAGGAAAGUUCUGCACGAACUGGUCAAAGCCAGCCAAGUGGAGCAAGAAGAAAGCCAAGCAGAAGUCAUUCAUUCCCAGCACCCUCAGCACCUUUCUCCAGGACAGGGUCACUUAGUUUUGGUAGGAGAAGGGAUGACCUGAGAUAGCUGUCCCAUAUUCCCUCAGAAAAGAAGGGGCCAGGAAUAUUGGGGAAAGAUUAUGGGUGUCACGGGGCAGUAAGGAGAGUGUAAAGUGAAUAAGUAAAUAGAUAUUAAUACAAAAAUAUUUAAUUAUUUAACAAAAUGGCACAAAAUGUAUUGUUAUAGUAAUUCUAGUGUAUACACAGGCAAUCAGUUUAACACCCAGAUAGACUAGAUGUUGUAAACUAGGGUGCCUUUGUUAUUGACAUAAAGUAUGCACGUUGCAAACAUAAAUAAAAAAGAAAGAUGUUCAUCCCAAA